AUUAGCUGACGAGUUCACAAUAGGACGAAACACGCGCCCUGGAU
rnacentral:hammerhead_ribozyme from 1 species